rnacentral:rRNA from 1 species
GAUGAACGCUAGCGGCAGGCCUAACACAUGCAAGUCGAGGGGUAGAACACUUCGGUGUUUGAGACCGGCGCACGGGUGCGUAACGCGUAUGCAAUCUACCUUGUACAGGGGAAUAGCCCAGAGAAAUUUGGAUUAAUGCCCCAUAGUAUAUAACCUUCGCAUGUUGGUUAUAUUAAAGUUCCAACGGUACAAGAUGGGCAUGCGUCCCAUUAGUUAGUUGGUAAGGUAACGGCUUACCAAGACGGUGAUGGGUAGGGGUCCUGAGAGGGAGAUCCCCCACAAUGGUACUGAGACACGAACCAGACUCCUACGGGAGGGAGCAGUGAGGGAUAUUAGUCAAUGGGCGCAAGCCUGAGCCAGCCAUGCCGCGUGCAGGAAGACGGUCCUAUGGAUUGUAAACUGCUUUUAUACAGGAAGAAACCCUCCAACGUGUGGGGGAUUGACGGUACUGUAGGAAUAAGGAUCGGCUAACUCCGUGCCAGCCGCCGCGGUAACAC